rnacentral:rRNA from 1 species
CCUGACUGCUAUCGGAUUGAUACUAAGCCAUGCGAGUCUUUGCAGUAAUGCAAGGCAUACGGCUCAGUAACACGUAGUCAACUUACCCUAUGGACGAGGAUAAUCUCGGGAAACUGAGCAUAAUACUCGAUAGAUCAUAAUGCCUGGAAUGGUUUAUGGUUGAAAUGAUUCGUCGCCAUAGGAUGGGACUGCGGCCUAUCAGCUUGUUGGUGAGGUAAUGGCCCACCAAGGCGAUUACAGGUACGGGCUCUGAGAGGAGAAGCCCGGAGAUGGGUACUGAGACAAGGACCCAGGCCCUAUGGGGCGCAGCAGGCGAGAAAACUUUGCAAUGUGCGAAAGCACGACAAGGUUAAUCCGAGUGAUUUCUGCUAAAGAAAUCUUUUGCAAGUCAUAAAACCACUAGUGAAUAAGGGGUGGGCAAGUUCUGGUGUCAGCCGCCGCGGUAAAACCAGCACCUCAAGUGGUCAGGAGGAUUAUUGGGCCUAAAGCAUCCGUAGCCGGCUCUGUAAGUUUUCGGUUAAAUCCAUGUGCUCAACGCAUGGGCUGCCGAAAAUACUGCAUAGCUAGGGAGUGGGAGAGGUAGACGGUACUCAGUAGGAAGGGGUAAAAUCCUUUGAUCUAUUGAUGACCACCUGUGGCGAAGGCGGUCUACCAGAACACGUUCGACGGUGAGGGAUGAAAGCUGGGGGAGCAAACCGGAUUAGAUACCCGGGUAGUCCCAGCUGUAAACGAUGCAGACUCGAUGAUGCAUUGGCAUAUAGCCAGUGCAGUGUCGCAGGGAAGCCGUUAAGUCUGCCGCCUGGGAAGUACGUACGCAAGUAUGAAACUUAAAGGAAUUGGCGGGGGAGCACCACAAGGGGUGAAGCCUGCGGUUC